rnacentral:rRNA from 1 species
UACGUAGGGUGCAAGCGUUGUCCGGAAUUAUUGGGCGUAAAGAGCUCGUAGGCGGUCUGUCGCGUCGGAUGUGAAAAUCCAGGGCUCAACCCUGGACCUGCAUUCGAUACGGGCAGACUAGAGUUCGGCAGGGGAGACUGGAAUUCCUGGUGUAGCGGUGAAAUGCGCAGAUAUCAAGAGGAACACCUGAGGUGAAGACGGGUUGCUGGGCUGACACUGACGCUGAGGCGCGAAAGCUAGGGUAGCAAACGGG